CGCCGGAUGAAGAGAGGAGUGACUAUCGAGACCCGACAGCGGGGUCUUGCUAAAUUUUCGAGGCUGGCCUUGAACUUGCAAUGCUUUUGCCUCUGUCCUGAGCCACUGGGAUUACCGGCAUGCACCAUUGCAUCCAGCUCCCACUUAAGUAUUCAAAAGUAGAUUUAUCAGCAGGUUGCAGGUGAACAUGGCCAUGAGAGUAAGUGAUAGAGCUUGACAGGGCAGGUGUGUAUCUAUGAAGAGCUGUCAUCAUGAGCUGAGCAACUACUAUCACUAUCCAAUUAUAUAACACUUUCAUCAUGUCAGACUGAUGCACAAGGUACCAGCUGCAACAUGUCCAGAUCCACACCAACCUGCACCACCAACAGAACCUGGUCCACUGCCUGGGUGAGAAGAAGUGAUGAAUGAAGCACGUGGUCGAAUUCAGUCAGCUGGGAUCCAGGCAGAAUCCCUGCUUUGGCUGCCAAUAACAGGAAGAGGAGGAGAAGGAAGCAGAGGAGAAAAGGGAUGAAAUGGAGAGCAAGUAAUCUGGAAAUAGAACCUGAGAAGAUGGGAGGUUCAUGCUUCUUCUCUGGAGGUCUCUUAUUAGCCAGCAACAGGUCUCCUGGGCUCAGGAGCAACUGUCCUAUCUUCACUCCACCUGGGCUCCAGCAGCAGCCUCUGCUGCUCUGGGCACUAUAGGCUUCAUCUGGUCAUUCUACAAUUUCUGAAAUUCUGGUGCCUACUGCUAUCGGGAACAUGGAGUGACCUGGGAAGUCUGAACCCACAUAGGAGUCAUCUGGGGAAACCUGGGGUACUUCUCUGACUCUGGAUGACCCUAUUGCAUGCAGAGACUGUAGCACUAGUAUGACUGUUCAUGGGCCUUGUAAGGAAUGGAUUAAAGAGAACAGGAUGGUGCUAGAUGCUGGUGGUGUAAUGAAUGAGAAAUGUUCUGCUCUCAAGGAGGCCCCAGAAAAGGGAGUAAGUGGUAAUUACCCCACCCAGGGAUGGGGCACAACUUCUCAGACACUACCCUCCCUCUUUCCUAGGACCUAGGAUUCCUCUCCUUCCUAAAGCACAGGCUUUGGUCACAUAGGCCAAAAUCAGUUUCUCUAUGGCUCCAAUACCAUACCUGAAUGCUACCCUGUAGGCAGAAAUCUUCCUGAAAAACACCUGUCUCCACAGUUUGCUGACUGUGUGCCCUCUGGCUCUUCCUCUGAGUGUUCCUGCCAAGAACAAGGUCUAGCACUCUGUUGCUCUGCUCAGGUGGAAGUGGAAGUGGCUCUCCUGUUGAGAGCCCCCACUUCCCAUCACUGCUGCUCCUUAAACCCCUACCCCGUCAAAUGCCUGCCACAGUCGCUACAGGACCACUGCAUUCCUGAUGCCCAUUAGCAUGACACCCACCCUCCUCCAGUACCCAAUUCAGAGACCAGAAGCUUGUCUUUGAUGUCACCCAAACUAAAGAAUGAGCAAUUAGUACUGAUUCUGGCUCUAUGUCCUGAAUCUCUAGAUAAUAUCCAUCCUCCCUCCAUCUUCAUCCCUCCCCAAUGCCACUGCCCUCUGGAUUCACACAGUCCUAUGCAUUCUGUCUUUGCUACAUCCUAGCAGCGUGACCUCAGCAAAACCACCUCCCCAGGCUUCACUUUAAUGGACUAUAAAGCAGGUUUAUUAACAGUGUCUACCUCAUAGAUUGGCAUUUCGAUGAAAUGGUAUAAGUAGGUAAAAUGCUUAGCAGAGUGUAUGGCUCAAAGUAAGUCCUGAGCUAUCGUGCUAAGUGAAAUGAGCCGAUCCCCCAAACACCAAAGGAUGAAUGUUCUCUGAUAGGUGGAUACUAGCACACAUUAAGGGGGGGGGGGGGCUGGCAAAUAGAAGUUCAUUGGAUUAGACAAA